rnacentral:rRNA from 1 species
UAGAUGCGAGAGUAGAGCAUAUCAAUAAGCGGAGGAAAAGAAACUAACAAGGAUUCCCCUUAGUAACGGCGAGUGAAGCGGGAAGAGCUCAAAUUUGAAAUCUUCAAGGGUUCUACCUUUACGAAUUGUAGUUUAAAGAAGUGUUUUCUGUUGGAGUUUUGGUAAAAGUUCUUUGGAAUAGGACAUCAUAGAGGGUGAGAAUCCCGUAUUUGACCAUUAUUUCCAGCUGUGUGAUACACUUUCAAAGAGUCGGAUUGUUUGGGAAUGCAGUCCAAAAUGGGUGGUAAAUUUCAUCUAAAGCUAAAUAUUGGCGAGAGACCGAUAGCGAACAAGUACCGUGAGGGAAAGAUGAGAAAGAACUUUGAAAAGAGAGUUAAACAGUACGUGAAAUUGUCAAAAGGGAAGCGUUUGACACCAGUGUUGUUUUCUCGAAAAUCAAUUAAAAAUGAUGGGAUUUUGUGUUGUAUUGACUUUAUCAGCUUUCUGCACUUUUUUCUUAUCUUUUUUAAUGCACUUUUCGUUUAACAAGUCAACAUCAAUUUCUUUUGUUGUAAAAGAGUCAUUGGAAGGUGGCUUUUUCUUCGGAAAAAGUGUUUAUAGCCUUUGGCUUCUGCAAUCGGAGAGAUUGAGGUCUGCAGCGUAGAUCCUUCGGGGUUAGAUACAUUUGUGCUAAGCUAUAGUUCUUUAUAGACAACUUGUUGACUAUAAUCAAUCCUGUAACUUACUCGCUUAUGCUAUUUUACCUACGCUUAGGAUGUUGACGCGCGUGUGUGCGUG